rnacentral:rRNA from 1 species
AAUGAACGCUGGCGGCAUGCCUUACACAUGCAAGUCGAACGGCAGCAUGACCUAGCUUGCUAGGUUGAUGGCGAGUGGCGAACGGGUGAGUAAUGCAUCGGAACGUGCCUUUUAGUGGGGGAUAACGUAGCGAAAGUUACGCUAAUACCGCAUAUUCUCUGAGGAGGAAAGCAGGGGACCUUCGGGCCUUGCGCUAGAAGAGCGGCCGAUGUCGGAUUAGCUAGUUGGUGAGGUAAAGGCUCACCAAGGCAACGAUCCGUAGCGGGUCUGAGAGGAUGAUCCGCCACACUGGGACUGAGACACGGCCCAGACUCCUACGGGAGGCAGCAGUGGGGAAUUUUGGACAAUGGGCGCAAGCCUGAUCCAGCCAUGCCGCGUGAGUGAAGAAGGCCUUCGGGUUGUAAAGCUCUUUCGGCUGGGAAGAAAUCGCACUCUCUAAUACAGGGUGUGGAUGACGGUACCAGCAUAAGAAGCACCGGCUAACUACGUGCCAGCAGCCGCGGUAAUACGUAGGGUGCGAGCGUUAUUCGGAAUUACUGGGCGUAAAGCGUGCGCAGGCGGUUGUGUAAGACAGACGUGAAAUCCCCGGGCUCAACCUGGGAACUGCGUUUGUGACUGCACGGCUAGAGUACGGCAGAGGGGGGUGGAAUUCCACGUGUAGCAGUGAAAUGCGUAGAGAUGUGGAGGAACACCGAUGGCGAAGGCAGCCCCCUGGGCCAGUACUGACGCUCAUGCACGAAAGCGUGGGGAGCAAACAGGAUUAGAUACCCUGGUAGUCCACGCCCUAAACGAUGUCAACUAGCUGUUGGUGGGGUUAAACCCAUUAGUAGCGUAGCUAACGCGUGAAGUUGACCGCCUGGGGAGUACGGCCGCAAGGUUAA